CCUACGGGAGGCAGCAGCAAGGAAUUUUGGGCAAUGGGCGAAAGCCUGACCCAGCAACGCCGCGUGGACGAUGAAGGCCUUCGGGUCGUAAAGUCCUUUUGUGGGGGACGAUAGUGACGGUACCCCACGAAGAAGCCCCGGCUAACUACGUGCCAGCAGCCGCGGUAAUACGUAGGGGGCGAGCGUUGUCCGGAUUUAUUGGGCGUAAAGCGCGCGUAGGCGGUGCGAUAAGUCCGUGGUGAAAUCUCCUGGCGCAACUGGGAGGGGGCCGUGGAGACUGUCGUGCUGGAGGACGGCAGAGGAAGGUGGAAUUCCCGUUGUAGGGGUAAAAUGCGUAGAGAUCGGGAGGAACACCAGUGGCGAAAGCGGCCUUCUGGGCCGGUCCUGACGCUGAGGCGCGAAAGCGUGGGGAGCGAACCGGAUUAGAUCCCCGUGUAGU
rnacentral:rRNA from 1 species